AAUGAACGCUGGCGGCAGGCCUAACACAUGCAAGUCGAACGAGUGGCGGACGGGUGAGUAAUGUCUGGGACACUGCCUGAUGGAGGGGGAUAACUACUGGAAACGGUAGCUAAUACCGCAUACCAUACGAUUUGACCAGGUGGGAUUAGCUAGUUGGUGGGGUAACGGCUCACCAAGGCGACGAGCCCUAGCUGGUCUGAGAGGAUGAACAGCCACACUGGAACUGAGACACGGUCCAGACUCCGACGGGAGGCAGCAGUGGGGAAUCUUGCACAAUGGGCGCAAGCCUGAUGCAGCCAUGCCGCGUGUAUGAAGAAGGUCUUCGGGUUGUAAAGUACUUUCAGUGGGGAGGCGUUACCCGCAGAAGAAGCACCGGCUAACUCCGUGCCAGCAGCCGCGGUAAUUC
rnacentral:rRNA from 1 species